CAUUCACGGAGAGUUUGAUCCUGGCUCAGGACGAACGCUGGCGGCGUGCUUAACACAUGCAAGUCGAACGAUGAACCACUUCGGUGGGGAUUAGUGGCGAACGGGUGAGUAACACGUGGGCAAUCUGCCCUUCACUCCGGGACAAGCCCUGGAAACGGGGUCUAAUACCGGAUAUCACUCCUGCAUGGCAUCUGCGGGGGUCGAAAAGCUCCGGCGGUGAAGGAUGAGCCCGCGGCCUAUCAGCUUGUUGGUGAGGUAAUGGCUCACCAAGGCGACGACGGGUAGCCGGCCCUGAGAGGGGCGACCGGCCACACUGGGACUUGAGACACGGCCCAAGACCUCCUACGGGAGGCAGCAGUGGGGAAUAUUGCACAAUGGGCGAAAGCCUGAUGCAGCGACGGCCGCGUGAGGGAUGACGGCCUUCGGGUUGUAAACCUCUUUUCAGCAGGGAAGAAGCGAAAGUGACGGUACCUGCAGAAGAAGCGCCGGCUAAACUACGUGCCAGCAGCCGCGGUAAUACGUAGGGCGCAAGCGUUGUCC
rnacentral:rRNA from 1 species